GCGAGUCGGACCAGACCAGCAAAAGAAAAAGAAAAAACACACCCGUCCACUCCCCAAUCCCCCUCCCCCUCUCUCUACUCGAUUGCGCCGCCGCCCCCGACCUAAACCUAACUCAACUGCGCCGCCGCCCCUGAUCUGCGCGCCGCCGCCCGUCCUCUGGUCCCCUCGUGCCACAUCAUCUCCGACCCCGGCCUCCCUCCCCGCAGGGCACCAUCCGCCCAGGAGCAGCAGCUUCGUCCGCCACACCGAGGAGCAGCAGCGCCGUCAACCGCCGCCGAGGAUCCACUGCUGAUUUUUCUCCACGUGUGAUCUCUGUUUCGGCUGAUUUCCUUCCCUCCGCCCCGCCUACAGAAUUCAAGAGGUGGUGGAGGCAAGUCAAGAAUUUACGUCGGUUCUGUUACAGGAACAGAGGAUAGUCCUCCUAAGCUGCUUAAUGGUACAAUUUGUGUCAUUAUAAACAUUGGAUGCAGUAGACUGUCAUAAUACCUAGUUUCUAUCAAAAAUGAUAAUAAGGGCACAAUAUGAUGAUAGUAAAUCUGGGUUAUGGAAGAACAUUGAGUAUUUGGUUUAUAUAUUUAUAUUUGUAUAGCAGCACCCUGAUUAUGCAAAUAGUAUCAAAUCUCGAGCCUUAAUCAUGGCAGCUAGCAGAAAAUGUAUGGUUUAGUUUGCAAGCACAUACAUUGAGUAUUUGGUUUCUAUAUUUACCUGUCGGAAAAGACCUAUCCUGGCAAGACUAUAGGCAACAGCUCCUUUCUGUCAGGAAAGGUCUUUGCCGACACUAAAUGUGUCGCCUUAGGUGACCUAUGCCGACAGAUUGUUUGACGUUGCUUUGGGUGUCGUGGUGUAGUGCAACAGGGUGAGCGUGAAUGCGACUAUGCAGCGACUUCAAGUGGAAGGAUGCCACUGGGCAUAUGGUAUGACUCGACGAUGUUGUAGGCGUUCUCAUUGUUCGCCGAGGUGUUGAUCUCCGGCAAGAGGAAGAAGACGGUGUCAAUGCUAAAACCGGCACAUCUCGGGUAGGGGGUCCCAAGGUUCGUGAUCUGAGCUAGAUGGUAACACGAGAAAGAAAGUAGGGACACAUUUCUUAACCAGGUUCAAGCCCUCUCCCUCUUGAAGAGGUGCUUUUGAUAUAUUGAUUGUGAUGGGGUUGCGUCCAAUAUAGUUUUUGGUUUCUUUGUU